AAGUUAUAAUAAACAAACUCUAUGCAACAGAGUACAUACAACAGAUUAGACACAUGCCUCCCCCCUCUAUCCCUUCGCCACGUUCACGGGAAAACACUAUUGGAACCCACAAAGGUGCACACUGCGCACCCGAUCCCCGCCACCACCCUCUCUAGUCUCUCCCCUGAAGAAGAAAAAAUAAAAUAAAAUAAAGAAAGCAAGCUUCAAAGUUUCAAACUUUGCACCACCCCACCUCCAAUUUCAAGGACCAGAACUCAUUUUUCCCCAAUUUAAAUCCUUUUUCGCUACCCAUUUUGGGUUUUGGUUCGUGUAACUUCUACUUCUGGAACUAAAGUUGAGCUUUUUACCUUAUUUGGGUUCUUUGUGUUUAGCUUUUUUUUUUCCUUCUUUUUCAUGGCGAUUGGGCUUCUUCUGUGGCUGUUACUGGCCAAGGGUCUUGCCAUGGAGGGUGCUGUGGGGGUCACAUUUUCUUCUAGGCUCAUUCACCGUUUCUCUGAGGAGGCUAAGGCUCAUUUGGCUUCAAGGGGCAGCGACGGUUCUGUGCUUCUUCAAGCGUGGCCUGAGAGGAACAGCUCUGAGUAUUUCAGGUUGCUUCUUAGAAGUGACGUGACACGGCAGAGGAUGAGGCUUGGCUCGCAGUAUGAGAUGCUGUACCCUUUUGAAGGUGGCCAGACCUUUUUGUUUGGCAAUGCGCUUUAUUGGUUGCAUUACACAUGGAUUGAUAUAGGGACUCCAAAUGUUUCAUUUCUUGUAGCAUUAGAUGCUGGAAGUGACAUGCUUUGGGUUCCCUGUGACUGCAUUGAAUGUGCUUCCCUGUCUGCCGGUAAUUACAAUGUGUUGGACAGGGAUCUGAAUCAGUAUAGACCAUCAUUAUCCAACACCAGCAGACAUCUACCUUGUGGUCAUAAGUUGUGUGAUGUCCAUUCCGUUUGCAAAGGCUCUAAGGAUCCUUGCCCUUAUGCAGUUCAGUAUUCCUCAGCCAAUACCUCAAGUUCUGGAUAUGUCUUCGAAGACAAACUACAUUUGACAUCCAAUGGAAAACAUGCAGAACAAAAUUCGGUGCAAGCCUCUAUCAUUUUAGGUUGUGGAAGGAAACAAACUGGUGAAUAUUUACGCGGAGCUGGUCCUGAUGGUGUUCUAGGGCUAGGACCUGGAAACAUUUCAGUCCCAAGUUUACUGGCAAAGGCAGGACUUAUUCAGAAUUCCUUUUCAAUCUGUUUCGAAGAGAAUGAAUCUGGGAGAAUUAUCUUUGGUGACCAAGGUCAUGUCACCCAACAUUCAACACCCUUUUUACCCAUAGAUGGGAAAUUUAAUGCUUAUAUUGUUGGAGUAGAGAGCUUUUGUGUUGGGAGCUUAUGUCUCAAGGAAACUAGGUUUCAAGCACUUAUUGACAGUGGAUCUUCUUUCACAUUUCUUCCCAAUGAAGUUUAUCAAAAAGUUGUAAUUGAGUUUGACAAACAAGUAAAUGCAACCAGGAUUGUUCUCCAAAAUUCAUGGGAGUACUGCUAUAAUGCCAGUUCACAGGAGUUGAUUAGCAUUCCCCCAUUGAAUCUCGCUUUCUCUAGGAAUCAAACCUUUUUAAUUCAAAAUCCUAUUUUUAUUGAUCCUGCCAGUCAGGAACAGGAAUACACCAUCUUUUGUUUGCCUGUAAGCCCUUCUGAUGACGACUAUGCUGCCAUUGGACAGAACUUCCUGAUGGGUUAUCGAAUGGUCUUUGAUCGGGAGAAUCUAAGGUUUAGCUGGUCUAGAUGGAAUUGCCAAGAUAGAGCAAGUUUCUCAUCACCUUACAGUGUUGGAUCACCAAACCCUUUACCGGUGGAUCAGCAGCAGAGUUUCCCUAAUGCUCAUGGCAUACCGCCUGCCAUUGCUGGACACACGUCCUCCAAACCCUCUGCAGCCACACCUGAACUUAUUACCUCUAGGCAUUCCUUAGUUUCAUUGUUACUGAUAUGUCACCUUUGGCUUUGGUUAUUUUGUUAAGUCUUAUCUUAUUUGCUUGUAAAUUUAUCUCGUGUCCAGACUUAAAACCUAUGAGGUUUAGUUUUUCAAUUUUGUAGGCUGUUGUAUCUAUUGGGGUUAGUGUGUUAGUGAGGUACUUUUAUUUAUUUUGGUAUAUUCUUUCGGUUGUAGUCCCUUUUUAUUCUCUUUCCUAUGUAUCUUUUUGUUCUGCUAGUGCA